rnacentral:rRNA from 1 species
AUGCUUAGAGCUUGUGUUUUGGAUUAUGGAUCAAGUUGGGAUGACAACUUGCCAUACGCGGAGUUUUCUUACAACAACAGUUAUCAAUACAGUUUGAAGAUGGCCCCUUUCGAAGCCUUGUACGGAAGGAGGUGCAGAACCCCGUUGUUGUGGGAUGAGGUGGGAGACCGCCAGUUGUUUGGACCGAAUCUGAUUAAGGAGUCUGAACAGAAAGUAAAAUUGAUCCGCGACAGGCUCAAGGUAGCUCAGUCAAGACAGAAGAGCUAUCCAGAUUCAAAACGCAAGGAGACAGAAUACAAAGUCGGACACAGAGUUUAUCUUCGAGUAUCUCCACUUCAAGGAGUUAAGCGUUUUGGAGUUAAAGGGAAGUUAGCGCCACGUUUUGUGGGGCUAUACAAAGUUUUGGAACGCAUGGGAGAAGUAGCAUACAAGUUGGAAUUACCUGAGGGAUUGUCAGGAGUUCACGAUGUGUUCCAUGUUUCUCAGUUGAAGAAGUGUCACGCAGAGAUGGCUGAUAUACCACUGAGAGAUACAGUGCCAUUGGAAGCAAUUCAGUUGAAGUAUAAUUUGACAUAUGAAGAGAAACCAGUUAGGAUUCUGGAUUAUGCCAGUCGAGUUACCCGGAGUAAGGUUAUCAAGUUUUUUAAAGUUCAGUGGAGCCACCACACCGAGGAGGAAGCCACCUGGGAGCGAGAGGAAGAUCUGCUCAAGGACCACCCUCACCUAUUUGCUAGCCAACCCGAAUCUCGAGGGCGAGACUCAUCUUAA